CCUACGGGAGGCAGCAGUGAGGAAUAUUGGUCAAUGGGCGGGAGCCUGAACCAGCCAUGCCGCGUGCAGGAAGACGGCUCUAUGAGUUGUAAACUGCUUUUGUACAAGGGUAAACCUGAAUACGUGUAUUCAGCUGAAAGUACUGUACGAAUAAGGAUCGGCUAACUCCGUGCCAGCAGCCGCGGUAAUACGGAGGAUCCAAGCGUUAUCCGGAUUUAUUGGGUUUAAAGGGUGCGUAGGCGGUUUGAUAAGUUAGAGGUGAAAUACCGGUGCUCAACACCGGAACUGCCUCUAAUACUGUUGAACUAGAGAGUAGUUGCGGUAGGCGGAAUGUAUGGUGUAGCGGUGAAAUGCUUAGAGAUCAUACAGAACACCGAUUGCGAAGGCAGCUUACCAAACUAUAUCUGACGUUGAGGCACGAAAGCGUGGGUAGCAAACAGGAUUAGAUACCCUUGUAGUC
rnacentral:rRNA from 1 species